rnacentral:tRNA from 1 species
AAGGCAAUUGCUGGCGGAAACCGGGCUGGGCGCCAUUUAGGGUCCGGACCCAGGAUCCGGUUCCGGGGGUGGUUCAAAUCCCCCUUGCCUUA